rnacentral:rRNA from 1 species
AGUGAACGUUGGCGGCGUGGAUUAGGCAUGCAAGUCGAGCGAGAACCGUAGCAAUACGGGGACAGCGGCGAAAGGGACAGUAAUGUGUAGGUACCUACCCCGAGGUCUGGGAUAGCUGCGGGAAACUGCAGGUAAUACCGGAUGAUGUCUUCGGACCAAAGGUGUGAUUCCACCUUGGGAGGGGCCUGCAUCCUAUUAGCUAGUUGGCGGGGUAAUGGCCCACCAAGGCGACGAUGGGUAGCGGGUGUGAGAGGACGACCCGCGUCAUUGGGACGGAGACACUGCCCAGACACCUACGGGUGGCUGCAGUCGAGGAUCUUCGGCAAUGGGCGAAAGCCUGACCGAGCGACGCCGCGUGCGGGAUGAAGGCCUUCGGGUUGUAAACCGCUGUCGUAGAGGAGGAAAUGCAGGUGGGUUCUCCCAUCUGUUUGACCUAUUCUAGGAGGAAGUACGGGCUAAGUUCGUGCCAGCCGCCGCCGUAA